AUGAGUUUUCCCUGCAACUGUCAGAUCAUCCAGGCCGAGGAUGGUACUCUUGGCCUCGCCAUAUUUUCUCACCGUUACCAUAACAUUCAAAUGUGGCAGAGGAAGGUUAAUUGCCAUGGUGUUGGCACAUGGGUGCUAUGGAAGACCACUGAAAUGCAUGACAUUCAUGGGCUCCCUCCUCCAGCAAGGAGGGGGAUGGAACUGAUACGGGGAUAUGCCGAGGAUGCUAAUGAAAUACUUUUAUAUCUGGACGGCAUUGUCUAUAUGGUUCAACUUAAGUCGAUGCGAUCAAGAAAACUCUGGGAAACCCAUCACAUUACCCUUUGUCAUUCUUUCAACAGUUUCUACACGCCAGGCAUUGGAAUUGCUGGUGCACGAUACAAUGGGUGA
rnacentral:rRNA from 1 species